ACUAUCAUAUUACCUUGAGUGACACCUCUCAAGGAGUAAGGAUUAUUAUCUGAUUUCAGUUUUAACUUUUGAACUAGGUACAUUGGUGCUUCCAUACGCAUACAUUUAUAUAGAAGUAAAUAUUUGUGGUAUUUGAUUCUAUUGUCAACUGUCAUCCACCCAAGUUCUUUAAAUAAGGGGGCUGAGGGGGAUAAUGGAUCUGCAUCUAGAAUUAAUCUUGCUGCCCUUUUUUGGAGUUUUAAAAUUCUUGUUACCCCUUCAUUUUUACAUUCACCCCAAAUAAUACAGCAGUAGUCAAUCAGGGGCAGAAUAUACCCAUUGUAAUAUGUUUUCCUUGCAUUUAUAUCUAAAAAUUUCUUUAUUUUAGAAAGAAGGUAUAUUCUGGAUGAUAUAUUAGCACAAACUUGGUCAAUUUGAUUUCUCCAGUUAAGUGUGCUGUCAAUUUUAACACCUAAUAAUUUUUCACAUGAAGAAUUUUGUAAUACUUUUGAAUCUAUUAUUAAGUUUGGUUGAUAAGUCUGAAUUGAUAGUUUCUGCUUUGUUCCAGUAACCAAACAUUUUGUUUUAUUUGCAUUAAUGAACAUGUUAUUCAUUUUGCACCACUCUUCAACCCUGUAUAAAUCUUCUUGAACAUCAUCAUGUAUAUUUUCUAUGUUUUUCCCUGAUUUAUGAAGAGUGGUGUCAUCAGCAUAUAGGUCUGUUUCACAAUUUUCAAUGCAUAAGGGAAGGUCGUUUAUAAAUAGCACAAACAAUAGAGGACCAAGUAUAGAACCUUGGGGGACACCAAAUUUUACAUGUUGUUGUUCAGAGUAAACAUUACAAAUGUUUACCUGCUGUUUUCUGUUAUUCAGGUAUGACUUGAAAAAACUAACAGUAGCCUCACUAAAUCCAUAAAUUUCAAGCUUUAAGCAAAGAAUGUCAUGAUCUACCAAAUCAAAAGCUUUUUUAAAAUCUAAUAAAAUUGCUAGGUUUAAAUUUCCAUCAUUCAUUUCUUGCAACCAUUUGUCAAUGAUAUUAAUAAGUGCAGUUUGACAAGAAUGCUGCGGCCUGAAACCAGAUUGUGUAGGAUGUAAAAGGUUAAGUUUAGAUAAGUAUUUGUACAUGUUAUUAGAAACAUGCCUUUCUAUUAAUUUUGAUAAAGUUGGAAGAACAGAUAUAGGUCUGUAAUUUGUUGCUAAAAGCUUGUCACCAUCCUUGAAAACUGGUGUUACCUUAGCAUUCUUCAGUAAAGAAGGAUAUAUACCAGUAUCUAUCAUUCGGUUAAAUAUGUAUGUGAGAGGUGAUGCAAUAACAGGGGCGCUUAAUCUUAGGAUUUUUGGUCCUAUAUUAUCCAUACCAGAUGCUUUGUUUAUAUCAAGUUUUGUUAACUCAUUAAAUAACUCAUUCAUGAUCACUGGUGGUAUAGAAAAUUUAUCAUGUUUAUGUAAUUUAUUUUUAACAAAUUUGCCAAGAUUACUGAAAUCUGCUUUGUUUACAGGUGUAUAACUUCCUUGUUCUCUUAAUUUUUCAGCACAGGAAGUGAAAAAGUUAUUAAAAGUUUCUGCUAUUGAUUUUUUACUUUUAGUUGUAUUGUUAUCUUCUGUGGCUAACUCAUAUGGUGUAUUUUUAACUUUUGGGUUCAGACUGUGAAGACAUUUCCAUAAAGUUUUAGGGUCAUUGGAGUCUUUUACCAUAUUUUUAUAAUAAUUCUUUUUUGAGCUAUCUAUGACAUGUUUAGUUUUAUUUCUCCAAAAUCUAUACUCACUCCAUAAACCAAGUGCAUUAUAUUUAUCUCUCAUAUUCCUAGCAUAAAUGAUUUCACUGUUAUACCAUUCAGGCUGUCCGUCCCUUUUAACUCUCUUUUUAACAACAGGAGCAUGUUUAUCUAAAGCUUUGUUCAACAUAUCAUAAAACAAUUGUAGACAGUCAGAGGGGUUUUCUUCAAAUUCAAUUUUAUGAAAAGGUGUAGUUUGCAGAUCUAAUAAAAAUUCAUUUUGGUUGAAAUUUUUGAAAUUUCUAUAAGUAAUUGUACUGUGUGUAUUCUUUUUUCCUAUAUUUGCUUCUUUCCUUGUUAAACAGAUAGGGUAAUGGUCACUAAUUGCAUAUCUACACACAUGUGAUUCAUGUACCAUAAUUGGAUUAUUGACAUAAAUAUGAUCAAUCAA